rnacentral:rRNA from 1 species
ACGGGUGAGUAACGCGUGGGAACGUGCCUUCCGGUUCGGAAUAACCCUGGGAAACUAGGGCUAAUACCGGAUACGCCCUUAUGGGGAAAGGUUUACUGCCGGAAGAUCGGCCCGCGUCUGAUUAGCUAGUUGGUGGGGUAACGGCCUACCAAGGCGACGAUCAGUAGCUGGUCUGAGAGGAUGAUCAGCCACACUGGGACUGAGACACGGCCCAGACUCCUACGGGAGGCAGCAGUGGGGAAUAUUGGACAAUGGGCGCAAGCCUGAUCCAGCCAUGCCGCGUGAGUGAUGAAGGCCUUAGGGUUGUAAAGCUCUUUUAUCCGGGACGAUAAUGACGGUACCGGAGGAAUAAGCCCCGGCUAACUUCGUGCCAGCAGCCGCGGUAAUACGAAGGGGGCUAGCGUUGCUCGGAAUCACUGGGCGUAAAGGGCGCGUAGGCGGCGUUUUAAGUCGGGGGUGAAAGCCGGUGGCUCAACCACAGAAUGGCCUUCGAUACUGGGACGCUUGAGUAGGGUAGAGGUUGGUGGAACUGCGAGUGUAGAGGUGAAAUUCGUAGA